rnacentral:rRNA from 1 species
UACGGAGGGGGCGAGCGUUAUUCGGAAUUAUUGGGCGUAAAGGGCGCGUAGGCGGCUGAACAAGUCAAAGGUGAAAUCCCUCGGCUCAACUGAGGAACUGCCUUUGAAACUGUUCGGCUUGAGGCCGGGAGGGGGUAGCGGAAUUCCCAGUGUAGCGGUGAAAUGCGUAGAUAUUGGGAGGAACACCAGUGGCGAAGGCGUCUACCUGGACCGGUUCUGACGCUGAGGCGCGAAAGCGUGGGUAGCAAACAGG